rnacentral:tmRNA from 1 species
GGGGAUGACAGGCUUCGACGGGAGAGGCUGGUCCCGGAAUGCGAGCCGAGAGCGCACCGAACUCGAUAAAUCAGUGCAACCAUUAAGUGCCAACAGCACUUCCUAUGCUGCUAUGCCCCUCGCCGCCUAGUCGGUGAACGCAUAACAGUUGCGGCGCCAGACGCCGCACGUCCGCCGUCCCCGCUCUCCACCCGGUGACGGACCGGGCGAGACAAAGGUGCGAGUGCCGCGCGCGAUUCUGCUAAGCGCGCGAAAGACCAGCAGAUGGUCACAGGCUUACCAGCCCGCCGGGAUGCCUGUGAUGACGAAUAACGGCAGGCUACGCUCGUAGAGUUCCGAGGGUCGAAUCUUUCGGACCCGGGUUCAAUUCCCGGCAUCUCCACCU